ensembl:lncRNA
AAGAUUUGGCAUGGGUCCCCAGAUCCUCAAAAAUGUCAACAGCUGCACCAUCGAGAGCAUCCUGACCGGUUGCAUCAGACUGUAAGACACUACAGAGGGUAGUGCGUACGUACGGCCCAGUACAUCACUGGGGCCAAGCUUCCUGACAUCCAGGACCUCUAUACUAGAGGAGAGAAGACGAGAGGAGAGAAGAGGAGGGGAGAGAAGAGGAGAGGAGAGAAGAGGAGGGGAGAGAAGAGGAGGGGGAGAAGAGGAGGGGAGAGAAGAGGAGAGGAGAGAAGAGGAGUGGAGAGAAGAGGAGAGGAGAGAAGAGGAGUGGAGAGAGGAGGGGAGAGGAGGGGAGAGAAGAGGAGAGGAGAGAAGAGGAGGGGGGAGAGAAGAGGAGGGGAGAGAAGAGGAGGGGAGAGAAGAGGAGGGGAGAGAAGAGGAGAGGAGGGAAGAGGAGAGAAGAGAGGGGAGAGAAGAGGAGAGAAGAGGAGGGGGAGAAGUGGAGGGGAGAGAAGAGGAGGGGGAGAAGAGGAGAGUGGAGAGAAGAGGGGGAGAGAAGAGGAGAGGAGGGAAGAGGAGAGGAGAGAAGAGGAGGGGAGAGAAGAGGAGGGGAGAGAAGAGGAGAGGAGGGAAGAGGAGAGAAGAGGAGGGGAGAGAAGAGGAGGGGGAGAAAAGGAGGGGAGAGAAGAGGAGAGGAGAGAAGAGGAGGGGAGAGAAGAGGAGAGGAGGGAAGGGGAGAGAAGAGGAGGGGAGAGAAGAGGAGAGAAGAGGAGGGGAGAGAAGAGGAGGGGGAGAAGAGGAGGGGGAGAAGAGGAGUGGAGAGAAGAGGGGGAGAGAAGAGGAGAGGAGGGAAGAGGAGAGGAGAGAAGAGGAGAGAGAGGAGAGGAGAGAAGAGGAGGGGGAGAAGAGGAGGGGAGAGAAGAGGAGAUGAGAGAAGAGGAGGGGGAGAAGAGGAGGGGAGAGAAGAGGAGGGGGAGAAGAGGAGUGGAGAGAAGAGGAGGGGAGAGAAGAGGAGAGGAAAGAGGAGAGGAGAGAAGAGGAGGGGGAGAAGAGGAGGGGAGAGAAGAGGAGUGGAGAGAAGAGGAGAGGAGAGAAGAGGAGGGGAGAGAAGAGGAGAGGAGAGAAGAGGAGUGGAGAGAAGAGGAGAGGAAAGAGGAGAUGAGAAAAGAGGAGUGGAGAGAAGAGGAGAGGAGAGAGGAGGAGGGGAGAGAAGAGGAGGGGGAGAAGAGGAGGGGAGAGAAGAGGAGAGGAGAGAAGAGGAGGGGGAGAAGGAGGGAGAGAAGAGGAGAGAAGAGGAGAGGAGAGAAGAGGAGGGGAGAGAAGAGGAGGGGGAGAAGAGGAGGGGAGAGAAGAGGAGAGGAGUGGAGAGAAGAGGAGAGGAGAGAAGAGGAGAGGAGAGAAGAGGAGGGGAGAGGGGGGGAGAGAAGAGGAGAGGAGAGAAGAGGAGGGGAGAGAAGAGGAGGGGGAGAAAAUGAGGGGAGAGAAGAGGAGGGGAGAGAAGAGGAGAGGAGGGAAGAGGAGAGAAGAGGAGGGGAGAGAAGAGGAGAGAAGAGGAGGGGAGAGAAGAGGAGGGGGAGAAAGGAGGGGGAGAAGAGGAGAGAAGAGGAGAGGAGAGAAGAGGAGGGGAGAGAAGAGGAGAGGAGAGAAGAGGAGGGAGA